rnacentral:rRNA from 1 species
AGAGUUUGAUGGUGGCUCAGGACGAACGCUGGCGGCGUGCUUAACACAUGCAAGUCGAACGAAGAGCGAUGGAAGCUUGCUUCUAUCAAUCUUAGUGGCGAACGGGUGAGUAACGCGUAAUCAACCUGCCCUUCAGAGGGGGACAACAGUUGGAAACGACUGCUAAUACCGCAUACGAUCCAAUCCCGGCAUCGAGACUGGAUGAAAGGUGGCCUCUAUUUAUAAGCUAUCACUGAAGGAGGGGAUUGCGUCUGAUUAGCUAGUUGGAGGGGUAACGGCCCACCAAGGCGAUGAUCAGUAGCCGGUCUGAGAGGAUGAACGGCCACAUUGGGACUGAGACACGGCCCAGACUCCUACGGGAGGCAGCAGUGGGGAAUCUUCCGCAAUGGACGAAAGUCUGACGGAGCAACGCCGCGUGAGUGAUGACGGCCUUCGGGUUGUAAAGCUCUGUUAAUCGGGACGAAUGGUUCUUGUGCGAAUAGUGCGAGGAUUUGACGGUACCGGAAUAA